GGGGGAUAUUGCACAAUGGACGGAAGUCUGAUGCAGCGACGCCGCGUGGGGGAUGAAGGCUUUCGGGGUGUAAACCUCUUUUAUUCCUGAACAAGGCUUGGAUUGUUGUCUGGGUUGAGGGUAGGGGGUGAAUAAGCGCCGGCUAACUACGUGCCAGCAGCCGCGGUAAUACGUAGGGCGCGAGCGUUGUCCGGAAUUAUUGGGGGUAAAGCGCGCGCAGGUGGUUUCUUAAGUCUGAUGUGAAAGCCCACGGCUUAACCGUGGAGGGUCAUUGGAAACUGGGAGACUUGAGUGCAGAAGAGGAAAGUGGAAUUCCAAGUGUAGCGGUGAAAUGCGUAGAGAUUUGGAGGAACACCAGUGGCGAAGGCGACUUUCUGGUCUGCAACUGACGCUGAGGCGCGAAAGCAUGGGGAGCAAACA
rnacentral:rRNA from 1 species